GAUGACCUACGGGAGGCAGCAGUGAGGAAUAUUGGUCAAUAGGAGAGAUCCUGAACCAGCCAAGCCGCGUGAGGGAAGACGGCCCUAUGGGUUGUAAACCUCUUUUGUCGGAGAACAAAACCCGGGACGAGUCCCGGACUGCGUGUAUCCGAAGAAAAAGCAUCGGCUAACUCCGUGCCAGCAGCCGCGGUAAUACGGUGGAUGCGAGCGUUAUCCGGAUUUAUUGGGUUUAAAGGGUGCGCAGGCGGACCAUCAAGUCAGCGGUAAAAUCGCGGGGCCCAACCCCAUCCCGCCGUUGAAACUGG
rnacentral:rRNA from 1 species